CCAAAGGCCCAUAUUAACUCAAACAUGGUCAGAGUUCAAAUGUUCAUUCUCACACUCAACUUAUUCAAAAGCCUUCCACUUCAUUGGAGAACAAACUCCGUCGUGCCGGAAAUCGCCUUCGGCGGCGGCGGAGGUCAAAUCACGACCAAAUCACCACAAUCCUAAGCGUCUUCUCACCCUCUAUCUCGAUAUAUCCUUGUUUUUCAUCAAUUCCCAACCCAAAAUCUAAACCGAGCCAUAAAUUUUAAGAACCCUAAAUCCUAAUUUCAAAAAUUAAACGAAUAAAAAGUGGAAUCAAAGCCCAAUGUAUGAGGAAUUUGCUUCCACACGCAUCAGGAUACAUGGCGUUAAUCGAAUUCAUGAGAAAAUGGAAGAGGAAGCAGGAGCUCUUACAUACGAGGAAGAGGAGUUCCUCGGUGGUUGUUGAAUUCAAAGGCGACAACAAAGGCAAAAAAAUGCACGAAAAUCCUCAGCAUUGGUGCACUUACGAUGAAAGGAGGAAAAGCUUGAUUAAAGUCAUGGAACUGCUUGGAGACAAAGAUCAGAUGACUUGUAGAAGAAUAAAAUAAGGGAUUUAGGGUUAGGGUUAGAAAGUUGACUUUGGUCAACUGGUUGACCAGAAAGUCAAUUGUUGACCAAGGUGUACUAUAGGUCAAAAGUGUAUUAUUUUGUAAAGAUUUGGAUUUUGUGUACUGACGUAAUGGAUAUAUGAUGGCUUUAUAAUGAAAUGGAUUGAAUCUUGAAUGGUA